rnacentral:rRNA from 1 species
CCCUGACGACGAGUGGCGAACGGGUGAGUAAUACAUCGGAACGUGUCCGCUCGUGGGGGACAACCAGCCGAAAGGUUGGCUAAUACCGCAUGAGUUCUACGGAAGAAAGAGGGGGACCCGCAAGGGCCUCUCGCGAGCGGAGCGGCCGAUGACUGAUUAGCCAGUUGGUGAGGUAACGGCUCACCAAAGCAACGAUCAGUAGCUGGUCUGAGAGGACGACCAGCCACACUGGGACUGAGACACGGCCCAGACUCCUACGGGAGGCAGCAGUGGGGAAUUUUGGACAAUGGGCGCAAGCCUGAUCCAGCUAUUCCGCGUGUGGGAUGAAGGCCCUCGGGUUGUAAACCACUUUUGUAGAGAACGAAAAGACACCAUCGAAUAAAUGGUGUUGCUGACGGUACUCUAAGAAUAAGCACCGGCUAACUACGUGCCAGCAGCCGCGGUAAUACGUAGGGUGCGAGCGUUAAUCGGAAUUACUGGGCGUAAAGGGUGCGCAGGCGGUUGAGUAAGACAGAUGUGAAAUCCCCGAGCUUAACUCGGGAAUGGCAUAUGUGACUGCUCGACUAGAGUGUGUCAGAGGGAGGUGGAAUUCCACGUGUAGCAGUGAAAUGCGUAGAUAUGUGGAAGAACACCGA